CUGAAAAUUUAGGUCCUAUAUCAUAAUUUUUCUUUAAAACUUUAAAGUAUUACCUAAACAUGUGGCUUGCUUAGCAUUUAAUACCAAAUUUUCAUUCUUGGACUUUGAAUGUAGAAUUAAGUAUUAGUAUUCAUGUGAAUCAGAUGAGGUGGGAUUUCAUUUUUACAACUCAGCUAUAUUUAACCUUGGGAUUUAAACAUUAAAGUAAAACAUCUCUGACAGUUGGUUGAAAAAGAAAGAGACCAAUAAUCAGCAUAUUUUUGUCCUAGAGAAUGAUAUGCCAAUAUAUUAAGUGAUUAAAGU
rnacentral:lncRNA from 1 species